rnacentral:rRNA from 1 species
GACGAACGCUGGCGGCGUGCCUAAUACAUGCAAGUAGAACGCUGAAGGAGGAGCUUGCUUCUCUGGAUGAGUUGCGAACGGGUGAGUAACGCGUAGGUAACCUGCCUGUUAGCGGGGGAUAACUAUUGGAAACGAUAGCUAAUACCGCAUAAUAUUAGAUGUUGCAUGACAUUUGCUUAAAAGGUGCAAUUGCAUCACUACCAGAUGGACCUGCGUUGUAUUAGCUAGUUGGUGGGGUAACGGCUCACCAAGGCGACGAUACAUAGCCGACCUGAGAGGGUGAUAGGGCACACUGGGACUGAGAAACGGCCCAGACUCCUACGGGAGGCAGCAGGAGGGAAUCUUCGGCAAUGGACGGAAGUCUGACCGAGCAACGCCGCGUGAGUGAAGAAGGUUUUCGGAUCGUAAAGCUCUGUUGUAAGAGAAGAAAGAGUGGGAGAGUGGAAAGUUCACACUGUGACGGUAUCUUACCAGAAAGGGACGGCUAACUACGUG